AUAGUACUCCCUUUGUCCCAAAUUUUUUGUCUUAAAUUUAUAUAGAUAUGAAUGUAUCUAGUCACAUUUUAGUAUUUAGAUACAUCCAUUUCUAAACAAACCUAAGACAAGCGUUUUGAGAUGGAGGGAGUAUACA
rnacentral:pre_miRNA from 1 species